UACGUAGGGAGCAAGCGUUGUCCGGAAUCAUUGGGCGUAAAGCGCGCGUAGGCGGCCUCGUAAGUCCGUUGUGAAAGUCAAAGGCUCAACCUUUGAAAGCCGAUGGAUACUGUGAGGCUAGAGUCCGGAAGAGGCGAGUGGAAUUCCUGGUGUAGCGGUGGAAUGCGCAGAUAUCAGGAGGAACACCGGUGGCGAAGGCGGGUCUCUGGGCCGAUACUGACGCUGAGGAGCGAAAGCGUGGGGAGCGAACAGG
rnacentral:rRNA from 1 species